GGCGAGGGUACUGGAGUGGGUUGUUAUUUCCUUCUCCAAGGCAAAGGGAACCAGGUGGCAUGUGGGAAUCUUAGUUUCCCCACCAGGAUCCAACCCACACCCCCUGCAUUGGAAGAACAGAGUCCUAACCACAAGACAACCAAGAAAGUCCUUAAAUGAGCCUUUAUAAUCCUUUGAACUGCAAACACAAGACAAUGUAUAGAUAUAUGUUAUCUCUAAGUUCCAUGCAUUUUCUUCUUGACUUUGGAACAGGUCACUGAUGUUCAGUCAAGCCUCUCAUGAAGUAGUUGGCUGUGAUUCCCAGGGUCAGUGCACACAAAGCAUUUACCUACAAACUCUUGGAGGCCCCAGGGGAAGCAAUCAGAUUCCUAACAAGAUUUAGCUCUCUCAUCUCACACUUACGAGUGGAUAAACCAGCAUUAUAUCCAUAACUCUUUUCUCUUUCUCCAUCUCCUUCCUGUUUUUUUUUCCUUUGUCAAACUCCUAAACUUAUAAAUCAAAUGUGAAUAUGAUACCAUGAAUAAACUGCACUCCAAUAAAAAU